CCUACGGGAGGCAGCAGUGGGGAAUAUUGCACAAUGGGCGCAAGCCUGAUGCAGCAACGCCGCGUGCGGGAUGACGGCCUUCGGGUUGUAAACCGCUUUCAUCCAUGACGAAGCGCAAGUGACGGUAGUGGGAGAAGAAGCACCGGCUAACUACGUGCCAGCAGCCGCGGUGAUACGUAGGGUGCGAGCGUUGUCCGGAAUUAUUGGGCGUAAAGAGCUUGUAGGCGGUUGAUCACGUCGGAAGUGAAAUUCCAGGGCUUAACUCUGGGCUUGCUUUCGAUACGGGUUGACUUGAGGAAUGUAGGGGAGAAUGGAACUCUCGGUGGAGCGGUGGAAUGCGCAGAUAUCGGGAAGAACACCAGUGGCGAAGGCGGUUCUCUGGACAUUUCCUGACGCUGAGAAGCGAAAGCGUGGGGAGCAAACAGGCUUAGAUACCCUGGUAGUCC
rnacentral:rRNA from 1 species